GGUUGUGGCUCAGUGGUAGAGCGCUUGCCUAGUAUGGUAAGACACUGGGUUCGGUUCCCUGCACCA
rnacentral:tRNA from 1 species